ensembl:misc_RNA Metazoa_SRP Metazoan signal recognition particle RNA
GCUGGAAACAGUGAUGUGCGUCUGUAGUCCUAGCUGCUCAGGUGGCUGAGGCUGGAGGAUCACUUGAGCCUAGGAGUUCUGAGCUGUGGUGCACUAAGUUUGGCAUCAAUAUGAUGGGCUCCCGGGAGCUAGGGACCACCAGGUUGCCUAAGGAGGAGCGAACUGCCCAGGUCAGAAAUGGAGCAGGAAAAACUCCCUUGAUGAUCAGUAGUGGGAUAGUGCCUGUGAAUCGCCACUGCACUCCAGCCUGGGCAAUAGCACAAGACCCCAUCUCUU